UAGAAUAUGUUUCAAGCCAUGAGACUUGACGAGCUUCCCCUCGCAUGGGGACAAAAAGUGGAGCGGGGUGGCUAGGGAAGUGAAGGGUCCGUGACACCACACUCUGUGGGGGUCACACAGAGGAAGAGAAACCAACACAGGAGAC